rnacentral:rRNA from 1 species
UACAGAGGUCCCAAGCGUUGUUCGGAUUCACUGGGCGUAAAGGGUGCGCAGGUGGUCGGGUAAGUCUGACGUGAAAUCCCGCAGCUUAACUGCGGAAUGGCAUUGGAUACUAUUCGGCUAGAGGGUUGGAGGGGGGACUGGAAUUCUCGGUGUAGCGGUGAAAUGCGUAGAUAUCGAGAGGAACACCUGCGGCGAAGGCGGGUUGCUGGGCUGACACUGACGCUGAUGCGCGAAAGCCAGGGGAGCGAACGGG